GGUUCCGUGGGGUAGGGGUUAACAUGCCUGCCUGUCACGCAGGAGAUCGCGGGUUCAAAUCCCGUCGGGACCG
rnacentral:tRNA from 1 species